GAUGAACGCUGGCGGCGUGCCUAAUACAUGCAAGUCGAGCGAACGGACGAGAAGCUUGCUUCUCUGAUGUUAGCGGCGGACGGGUGAGUAACACGUGGAUAACCUGCCUAUAAGACUGGGAUAACUUCGGGAAACCGGAGCUAAUACCGGAUGAUAUUUUGAACCGCAUGGUUCAAAAGUGAAAGACGGUCUUGCUGUCACUUAUAGAUGGAUCCGCGCUGCAUUAGCUAGUUGGUAAGGUAACGGCUUACCAAGGCAACGAUGCAUAGCCGACCUGAGAGGGUGAUCGGCCACACUGGAACUGAGACACGGUCAAGACUCCUAAGGGAGGCAGCAGUAGGGAAUCUGACGCAAUGGGCGAAAGCCUGACGGAGCAACGCCGCGUGAGUGAUGACGGUCUUCGGAUCGUAAAACUCGGUUAUUAGGGAAGAACAUAUGUGUAAGUAACUGUGCACACCUUGACGGUAACUAAUCAGAAAGCCACGGCUAACUACGUG
rnacentral:rRNA from 1 species